CGCUYUUUGACUKAWUGAGGAGUCAUACCUGCCCCGGUGGAUAUAUAAAAGUUAUAAACGGCAGUGAUUUUAAACACUUUAAAGUAGCACAAUAAAUUGCCCUUUAAUUGGGGGAAGGAAUGAAUGGUUUGACGAGAGUCCAACUGUCUCAAUUUUAAAAACUAAAAUUUUUUUUAAGUUAAAAUACUUAAAUAUUUUUAAUAGACGAGAAGACCCUAUUGAGUUUUUAUAACAAAGGAGAGCGGCAAUAAAGCUUACCUUUAAAAAGUUUAAUUGGGAAAUUUUUUUAUGAAAAUAAUAAUAUUUUUUUUUAGUAAAUAAAGAUCCAUUAAAGAUGAGAGAAAGAAAAAAUUACCAUAGGGAUAACAGCAUAAUUCUUUUUGAAAGAUCUUAUUUAAGAAAGGGAUUGUGACCUCGAUGUUGAAUUAAGAUAUCCUUAAGGUUGCAGAGGCUUUAAAAGGUUGGUUUGUUCAACCAUAAAAAUCUU
rnacentral:rRNA from 1 species